GCCAGGCGUGGUGGCUCACGCCUGUAAUCCCAGCACUUUGGGAGGCCGAGGCGGGGGGAUCAUGAGGUCAGGAGAUCGAGACCAUCCUGGCUAACACGGUGAAACCCCAACUCUACUAAAAAAAAAAAAAAAAAAAAAANNNNNNNNNNUUUUUUUUUUUUUUUUUUUUUUAGUAGAGUUGGGGUUUCACCGGGUUAGCCAGGAUGGUCUUGAUCUCCUGACCUCGUGAUCCGCCCGUCUCGGC
rnacentral:SRP_RNA from 1 species